rnacentral:lncRNA from 1 species
UUCGCUUAGUUGACUAGACUGUAUGGUGCUUGAUUGAUUAGAUUUGUGCAUUGCAUUCGCUUAGUUUGCAAUUUUGAAGACCGAAUCAACCUUUGCUUAGUUGGGUGAUUCGUGUCGGAUUUGGAUUAGAGUAGUGUGUACUUGUCUUUAAUCUGGGAUUGGAAGCAUAGUAAUUGAGUUAAUGACCGACCGUUUUUAUUUUGUAUUUGAUUCUAUUUUUCAUCUGCAAUCACAAACCUUUCACAACCCCCCCUCCCC